GAUGAACGCUAGCGACAGGCUUAACACAUGCAAGUCGAGGGGCAGCACGAUAUUAGCUUGCUAAUAUUGGUGGCGACCGGCGCACGGGUGCGUAACACGUAUGCAACCUACCCAUAAAUGAGGGAUAACCCAGAGAAAUUUGGCCUAAUACCUCAUAGUACUAAUGAGUGGCAUCACUUAUUAUUUAAAGAUUUAUUGUUUAUGGAUGGGCAUGCGCAUGAUUAGCUAGUUGGUGAGGUAACGGCUCACCAAGGCAACGAUCAUUAGGGGUUCUGAGAGGAAGGUCCCCCACACUGGUACUGAGACACGGACCAGACUCCUACGGGAGGCAGCAGUGAGGAAUAUUGGUCGAUGGACGCAAGUCUGAACCAGCCAAGUCGCGUGAAGGAUGAAGGUAUUAUGUAUUGUAAACUUCUUUUAUCAGGGAAUAAUGGUCGCUACGUGUAGCGAAGAGGAAUGUACCUGAUGAAUAAGCAUCGGCUAACUCCGUGCCAGCCGCCGC
rnacentral:rRNA from 1 species